rnacentral:misc_RNA from 1 species
CCCCCAUUAUUAAUAGGAGCAGCCCAGCUGUCAUUUUUAGCUCUGCAUAACCACUAACAGAAAAUCCUCAAAACUUUUUAAACCAUUAAAGAUCAAGAUUUUCCCCUUAUCAUUUCCUCAUCAUUAAUUUUGCUUCCUUUCUUUCUUGAUUCCCUAGAAUCCUAUUUCUUGUCUCUGUUUUUUCUGUUUCCAAUUCUAAAAGAUAUAGAAAAAAAUGGUGGCUUUGGUUUCCCAAGAAAAUUUUCCAGCUCUGGUUUCUCGCACUGGUAGACAUUUGCAGCGAUAUACUAAAGCUGGUCGUCGUCAAGUUGUGGGGUUCGUUUCUUUAAUCCUUUAUUUUCCCUUUUUCUUGGAUUAAUUAGCUAUGGAAUCUUUAUUUUCCGCUUUUUUUAAAUUAAAUGGUUUCUCUUAGUUUAAAGGAUGGGAAAAGGACAUGCAACAUGUGUUGACCUUGACCUUGCAAUUCUGGAAUCCCCCAUCUCAAACUGAACCUUUCCUGCUAAUUAUUGAUAUCAAGAUUCAAGAAAGUGUUUAAUCACUUGCUACCCCACAUGGGUUGGCCUUAAUUUGAUGGAUGGGAGUGUUAAUUAGUUGAUUUGAUCUUUCUUCGUAUUGAGUUAGUGUUUCUGUAUAUUACAUGUUCUAUGGUUACUAAUUAAUUUCUUGCAUCCUUCUUUGCAGCUGUAUACCAUAUAAAUACAAAAGUGAUAAACAAGACUUCUUGGACAUUGAAGAAGUGUUAGAAGUUCUUGUCAUCAGUUCCCAGAAAGGAAAAGGAAUGUUGUUUCCUAAGGUACCUAAUUCACCAAGGAAAAGGAAUAUUUCCUUAGUUAUGUUCAUUUUGAUUAAUUCCUGUCUCACAUGAUCCCCUCAAUAUGAUUGCCUUCAGGGAGGUUGGGAAUUAGAUGAAACAAUAAUGGAGGCAGCUUCAAGAGAGACACUAGAGGAAGCUGGAGUGCUAGGCAUUGUUGAGGUUAGCUUGUUUUUCCAAGUUUUUUAAUGUUUGGUUUAUUAGCUCUGCAAUUCCUAGUUCUGAGUUUGGGAAUUUUCUUACAGUGUGCAUUAGGUGAAUGGAGUUUCAAGAGCAAAACACAUGACACCUAUUAUGAAGGCUACAUGUUCCCUCUACUAGUUCAGGAGGAAUUAGAUUUCUGGCCUGAGAAAAACCUUCGUGAAAGAAAAUGGAUGAGUGUGGCAGAUGCAAAGGAAUGCUGUCAACAUUGGUGGAUGAAGGAAGCCUUAGAUAGAUUAGUUAAUCGACUCAGGUCUCAGAAACAACUUGAAGAGGAAGAAUUAGCAUCUUGUAUUUUAAGCUUUCAGAGCAAAUCCAACUUGUAAAUAGGCAGAAUUGUUGAUGAACACAGCCAUAGGUGGCUUUUAGAAUUUAGACCAGGCGAAGUGCAAAGGCUAGUGGGAAUUGAAAUGAACAAGAAAGGGUCUCUUUGAUUUUCAUGCUAUCCCUUUCUUAGAAUUUCAAUUAUAAAUUCUUGUUAGGUAUAUCUUAGUGGGAACGCCGGAAAAAAAAAAAGGAUCAAGAUAACAUUUGUACAACAUGGUUUCUAAAUGCAAAGAAUUUUGGAAGGGAAAAUUCAACUUUGUUUGAUAAAUUUGAAAGUCGGUUAACUGUCUGGACUUCAACCUUCAUGUCUUGUCUUCCAAUAUAGACAUGCUUUUACUUUGAGGCUAAAGUUUGCAGUAACUUCAGGGGGCGUUGGCAGCAACAGUCAACAAUCAGGCCAAAAAUUUCUUAAUUUUCUUAUUUUAUUAAUCGAUCAAAAAUGUUUUCAAAAUGAGAAAUGCAAACAAGAAAGAGUAUUGGAAGACGCUCG